CAGCUAGACUCUCCUCAACUUUCAUCCUCGUGGCCAGAACCCAGUUCUCCAUCUAGAACUGAAAAAUGCCAUUAUUUAUCAUCAUCAUCAUCAUCAUCAUCAUCAUCAUCAUCAUCAUCACCAUCACCAUCAUCAUCAUCAUCGUAUGAAUGCAGGUAUAUGUAGACAUAAGUCUUAUACCUGUGAGAACCUUCUCGUGACCAUGAGAGACAACUCUAAGGGAAAAUCCUUGAAGCUCAGCAUGGUGGCACACAAUUUUAAUCUCCGCGCUAGAGAGACAUUUCUUCAAUUAGGGUAUCUUCAUCUCAGGCGACUCUCGGUUAUGAC
rnacentral:lncRNA from 1 species